GAAGUUUGGUUGAAACUAAGGUUGUUUAAAAGGUUGUGAGAUCUGAACAUAAAGUGUUUGCUUUUGAUUUAUUCAAUAUUCAUGCAAUUGUGCUUAAUUCUAAAGAUUGCUUUGUUGUUUUGAUCAAAUUGGCCACUUGAUUCUUGAUUACAAAGUUAAUUGAUUGUUGAUUAGGAUAUUUGUUAGUCCGUAAUUGCUGGAAAUAUUCUGAUCUAAGAACACUUGGUGUAAAAACCAAGAAAUUGCAUGAUCUAGCAACAUCUCAUACGUUUGAGUAGUUAGAGUUUGGAUCUUUCUUGUUCUUCAUGCAAUUGGCAAUUGUUUUGAUGCCUAUGGC
rnacentral:lncRNA from 1 species